rnacentral:rRNA from 1 species
UACGGAGGAUCCGAGCGUUAUCCGGAUUUAUUGGGUUUAAAGGGUGCGUAGGCGGUUUGAUAAGUUAGAGGUGAAAUGUCGGGGCUCAACCCCGAAACUGCCUCUAAUACUGUUGGACUAGAGAAUAGUUGCGGUAGGCGGAAUGUAUGGUGUAGCGGCGAAAUGCUUAGAGAUCAUACAGAACACCGAUUGCGAAGGCAGCUUACCAAACUAUAUCUGACGUUGAGGCACGAAAGCGUGGGUAGCAAACAGG